AGCUCCAAAAGCGUAUAUUAAAAUUGUUGCGGUUAAAACGCUCGUAGUUGGGUUUUUGCUGGGCGGGUCGCGUCCAUCCAAGCGAUGUUCGUACGCUACCCCCCGGCAUUUUUCUGGGGAGGGCUCUUGUGCUUUACUGUACAGUGUCUGAUCCAGAGCGAUUACUUUGAGAAAACGAGAGUGUUCCAGGCGGGCGAUUGGCCAGAAUACAUUAGCAUGGAAUAAUAGCAUAGGACUUCAUUCUGAAGCUGUUGGUUUAAUGGAAUGGAGGAACGCGAAUAGGGAUAGUUGGGGGCAUUCGUAUUUAACUGUCAGAGGUGAAAUUCUUGGAUUUUUUAAAGUACGAACUAGUG
rnacentral:rRNA from 1 species